GUGAAAGUAGCGCAAUUGGUUAGAGCAUCGGAUUGUGGUUCCGAAGGUUGGGGGUUCAAAUCCCCUCUUUCACC
rnacentral:tRNA from 1 species